rnacentral:rRNA from 4 species
CCUCGGAUCAGGUAGGAAUACCCGCUGAACUUAAGCAUAUCAAUAA